GUUGUGAGGUGGAAAAGGAACCGUCAUCCUCCAGCUGUUAAUAUUAGUGAUGGAAAUAUUUUAGGUUGUUCUAAAAGGAGUCGGCACCUCAAGUUCAUAGCCUGCAAGUUCUGCAGCCAGGCGGUGUCUCAUCCACCUCCUGAUGCUGUGCCUGGUUCUCAGCAACAUUGUGGUUGUGAGGUGGAAAAGGAACCGUCAUCCUCCAGCUGUUAAUAUUAGUGAUGGAAAUAUUGUUAGGUUGUUCUAAAAGGAGUCGGCACCUCAAGUUCAUAGCCUGCAAGUUCUGCGGCCAGGCGGUGUCUCAUCCACCUCCUGAUGCUGUGCCUGGUUCUCAGCAACAUUGUGGUUGUGAGGUGGAAAAGGAACCGUCAUCAUUAACAUUAACACAGCACCUGCUAAUGAUAAUGCAGAUGCCUUCACACACACACACACACACACACAAACUUACAAAAAAAACCAUGACAAGGUUAAUAAAAGUUUUUUCAAUGUCAAA